rnacentral:tRNA from 1 species
GGGGUUGUGGCUCAGAGGUAGAGUGCUUGCCUUGCACACAUGAGGCACUGGUUUCAAUCCUCAGCUCCA